UAGGGGCACACGGAGUUGAACCAUGGACCUAUCGAUCUGCAGUCGAUUGCUCUACCACUGAGCUAUACCCCC
rnacentral:tRNA from 1 species